rnacentral:rRNA from 1 species
UACAGGGGGGGCAAGCGUUGUUCGGAAUUACUGGGCGUAAAGGGCUCGUAGGCGGCCAACUAAGUCACACGUGAAAUCCCCAGGCUCAACCUGGGAACUGCGUGUGAUACUGGAUGGCUUGAAUUCGGGAGAGGGAUGCAGAAUUCCAGGUGUAGCGGUGAAAUGCGUAGAUAUCUGGAGGAACACCGGUGGCGAAGGCGGCAUCCUGGACCGAGAUUGACGCUGAGGAGCGAAAGCGAGGGGAGCAAACGGG